GACGAACGCUGGCGGCGUGCUUAACACAUGCAAGUCGAACGGAAAGGCCCUGCUUUUGUGGGGUGCUCGAGUGGCGAACGGGUGAGUAACACGUGAGUAACCUGCCCUUGACUUUGGGAUAACUUCAGGAAACUGGGGCUAAUACCGGAUAGGAGCUCCUGCUGCAUGGUGGGGGUUGGAAAGUUUCGGCGGUUGGGGAUGGACUCGCGGCUUAUCAGCUUGUUGGUGGGGUAGUGGCUUACCAAGGCUUUGACGGGUAGCCGGCCUGAGAGGGUGACCGGCCACAUGGGGACUGAGAGACGGCCCAGACUCCUACGGGAGGCAGCAGUGGGGAAUAUUGCACAAUGGGCGGAAGCCUGAUGCAGCAACGCCGCGUGCGGGACGACGGCCUUCGGGUUGUAAACCGCUUUCGCCUGUGACGAAGCGUGAGUGACGGUAAUGGGUAAAGAAGCACCGGCUAACUACG
rnacentral:rRNA from 1 species